rnacentral:rRNA from 13 species
AAGUCCCGCAACGAGCGCAACCCUCGUUCUAUGUUGCCAGCACGUGAUGGUGGGGACUCAUAGGAGACUGCCGGGGUCAACUCGGAGGAAGGUGGGGAUGACGUCAAAUCAUCAUGCCCCUUAUGUCUUGGGCUUCACGCAUGCUACAAUGGCCGGUACAAUGGGUUGCGAUACUGUGAGGUGGAGCUAAUCCCUAAAAGC